UACGUAGGGUGCGAGCGUUAAUCGGAAUUACUGGGCGUAAAGCGUGCGCAGGCGGCGGCUCAAGUCAGGUGUGAAAUCCCCGGGCUUAACCUGGGAAUUGCGCUUGAAACUAGGUCGCUAGAGUGUGGCAGAGGGGGGUGGAAUUCCACGUGUAGCAGUGAAAUGCGUAGAGAUGUGGAGGAACACCGAUGGCGAAGGCAGCCCCCUGGGCUGAGAUUGACGCUCAGGCACGAAAGCGUGGGGAGCAAACAGG
rnacentral:rRNA from 1 species